AUAUCAAUAAGCGGAGGAAAAGAAACCAACAGGGAUUGCCUUAGUAACGGCGAGUGAAGCGGCAAAAGCUCAAAUUUGAAAUCUGGCACCUUCGGUGUCCGAGUUGUAAUUUGAAGAAGGUAACUUUGGAGUCAGCUCUUGUCUAUGUUCCUUGGAACAGGACGUCACAGAGGGUGAGAAUCCCGUGCGAUGAGAUGUCUGAUUCUAUGUAAAGUGCUUUCGAAGAGUCGAGUUGUUUGGGAAUGCAGCUCUAAGUGGGUGGUAAAUUCCAUCUAAAGCUAAAUAUUGGCGAGAGACCGAUAGCGAACAAGUACAGUGAUGGAAAGAUGAAAAGAACUUUGAAAAGAGAGUGAAAAAGUACGUGAAAUUGUUGAAAGGGAAGGGUUUGAGAUCAGACUUGGUAUUUUGUAUGUCUUGCUUUCGGGUGGGGCCUCUACAGUUUACUGGGCCAGCAUCGGUUUGGACGGUAGGAUAAUGACAUUGGAAUGUGGCACCACCUUGGUGGUGUGUUAUAGACUUUGUUGAUACUGCCUGUCUAGACCGAGGACUGCGUCUUUGACUAGGAUGCUGGCAUAAUGAUCUUAAACCGC
rnacentral:rRNA from 1 species